UUUUCUGCUUUUCUGCCUCCCGCGGGCACCACAAACUGCAAUCCGGAAGAAAGGAGGACCCACAAGCGCUUGUCUACCCUCGAGGACUCUGCGCCUGCCUAAACUGCCCUGGGGGGCCGCACCCCUCCUCUUCUCUCUGUGACCUGUUGCUGUCGCACGCCGCUUUGUCCACAUCCCCUAACAGUCACUUCCUAUGGGUCGGGCCACAGUCCUCGCCUCAAUCGCGCUGGCCGGCUCCACAAGUGACUCCCCCACCCCACUGACCGAACAUGGCGAGCAGGACGCGCAUGCGCACACCCCACCUCCACAGAGCACAGCGCGACCCCUUUGGAGGGCCUGGCCCUGAAUGGCAAAUGAAGGAUACAGAGAUCAGACUACAGCCCUGAACUCUCAGGGAUCAGGCCACAGCCAUUAUGGACUCCUUUUUCCUAUUCUAACUACCUAACAGGAAUAAAUGAGUUAACAACUACAUAAGGAAAAGAAAUAUAUACUUAAAACUGUACCUGGCCUUUAGGAAGAGCUAUAGGCUGGAAGAAGCACAAGCUAGAAUCAAGAUUGCCGGGAGAAAUAUCAAUAACCUCAGAUAUGCAGAUGACACCACCCUUAUGGCAGAAAGUGAAGAAGAACUAAA